ensembl:lncRNA novel transcript, antisense to CCDC141and TTN
ACCCCUAAGUGGAACAUAGCAUACAAAUCUUUCAGCUUUCCAUAGACCCCAUUUUCUCACCAGAAAUUAUGUUCUUUGGGUGGGGAAGCAUUCUUAUUUAAUCUACUAACCCAGACCAGAAUGUGAUAAGAAAUACUGUUACUCUUGUAAGAGUAAUAGAAAUGAAUAAAAAUGCAUUUUAAAAGGCACCUUCUGGAGCUGCAUUCACUUGAAUCAAAGGCUGACCCUGCAGGGUUGGCACGGCAGCAGCUGCUAGAGGAGCGGUUCUGGAGCAAAUGGGCAUAUUCCCCUUUCUGACCCUGCCAAAUAUAAGACCUUCAGCCUACUCCAUCCAAGGCAUCCAUCUGUCUUCAGAAGAGAUUAGAAUUUUGUUCUGAAGCCAUGCAAAGAGUAAGACCAAGUGCUAACAUCCAAUUUGCAUGUGCCGGGAGAGAAAAUUCUUCAUGGAUCUCUGGUGCUCCUACACAUCUCACUGAUGGAUUUCUUGUCUAAAUGAAGAGAAGCAGCUCUUCCCCAUGGAUGAUCAUCAAAAACCAUAAGAGUCAAGAUGAAGAUGCCAUCUGAAAUUUCUAUUCUAUGAAUGACAUCUGGAUAUUGAUUUCCUGAAAUUUUCUUGAAACUACACCUUGUCCUCUCUAUGAGGAUACACCUCCAACAGCCACAAAGAAGCCAGCCUAGCUCUCAGUCCAGGUACCAACUAUCCAGGAGAAUCAUUACUUCCUCUCAGGCAGCUUCAAGGCUGAAACAAUGGCCCAUGACUUCUGUCUCUCCUCAAUCAAUUCCCUCACUGGAGUUCUUCCCCUGAACAAAGACCAGCUUGUUCAUUUGCAUUUCAUUGGCAGAUAAUAUUACUUGAGAUAUCAUUCAAUUUGUUAUUUUUAUCUUAACAUACACGGGGGUGGGGAGGAGAAAAAGAAAUUAAGCAAACUGUGAAUGUCCCUUUGUUCAGUGUUAUCUGUUUCUGUUAACUAUGUAAGAUGUUGGUAGAUGGCAAACAAACUCCCUGAGAAAAAAACAGUGGGAGUUUUCAUAUGAAAGUGUUCAGAGAGUGGUUCAAUGAUCACUCUGCAAGAUAUUGUAGGAAAUAUCUGCACCCAUCUGAGAGAUUAACUGGAUGCCUUCUAAGGACCCAUCUAUUUCCAUGGUUUAGUGAUACAAUAAUUAAUUAAUUUAUGCAACAGAUAAUGAGUAUUUACCAUUUGCAAGGCACAAGGAGUAGCUGAAAUCUAGAAACUUUGCAUGUGAAAUGUUUAACUUUUUUGUCUAACACAUUUCGUACAAGGGUUUAAAAUUAGAUCCAGGGUUGGCGAGAGACAUAUAAUAUCUAAGACGUUAUUGAAAUACAAGAAUAAAACCAUUGUUUUCACUGUUGAAGAGAAGGAAUGUUUCCUCACUUGGUAAUGUAAAAUUUGUUUUUGCCAUUAAAGACUGAUUUUUCUUUCUACAUUAAACAUAUUAAACUCUAAUAGGAAAAUUAAGCCACCUAUUGAUUUUUUUCUUUUCUUUUUGCCAAUAGAAUAACACUUUUCUUCUCUCUCAGUAGAACCCUCCUUCCAUGUGAGAAACCAAUGACACAGGAUUUUGGGAAGGAUCAACCUGCUCCUUCACCCACUGACAAGGGAAAGUAAUGACAUAGGGCCAGCUCCAUAAGAGUUGCCAUCCCCCUUGUCAAUGAGUUGAUGGGCCCAAGGAUGAAAACAUGAUUGAUUCAAGGAUGGAAAAUGAUUAAAGUCUGGAAAAUCAGGUUCCACAGAAUCUUUUCUGCUGAGGGUAUCUGUAAAGAUUCUAUUCACUAGUUACAAAUUUGGUAAGAUGUGAGCUUGGUGUAGCUGACUGGCCAUACCAUCAGCUAUGUGUAGACAGACUGUCCAUGAGCUGGAGAGACAGAACCUUGACAAUGUUACAGUAUUCCUGUAUUCAGCCUUCUUCUAACUUGGUCUCCUACUUAUGCAAAUAAACACAGAGACCUAAUCCACAUUUUUCAUGGCUUCUCCAAACUGAACUUAAUAAACAUGUGAAGUAAAUUGAAAUCUUUAAAUCACCUCUGUUUAUCAAAAGUAUUGCAUCUGAUAAACAUCAUUAUUUAGCUGCUUUAAAAUGCAUGUUACUUUGGAACAUGGUUUUUGAACAGAGUCAACUGUCAAUUCCUGAAGAUCAGCUCUGUUUCCCCAAUAUCCACCUUCUGACUGCCCAUUCAGCACCUCUCUAGACACAAAAUGUCUAAAUGAGAUUUUUAUUUUAAAUGGGUGAGGGUCAGAAACAAAUAAUUUUUUUAAAAAAUUUAAUGUCAAAUAAGGGUCUUGGUUUUGACAUCUAUAAUAAAACCUCAACUAAUGAAUGCAAUAAUACUAUCUCUUCUUUUACCAAGCAAAAAGAUUAAAUGUUUUAAAACAUUUCUUUCAAAAUAUGUUUGAAAUAAACAACAUGCCGUGACU